rnacentral:misc_RNA from 1 species
UCCCCGUUACCGGGGCAGUCUGAUUAGAAAAAUCCAACUAAUCAUAAGGGUUGCGCUCGUUGAUGGACUUAACCAAACAUCUCACGACACGAGCUGACGACGGCCAUGCAACACCUGUCACUAGGUUCCCGAAGGCACUCUCGGCUUUCACCAAAAUUCCUAGGAUGUCAAGCCUUGGUAAGGUUCUUCGCUUACCAUCGAAUUAAACAACACGCUCCACCGCUUGUGCGGGUCCCCGUCAAUUCCUUUGAGUUUUAGUCUUGCGACCGUACUCCCCAGGCGGAAUACUUAACGCGUUAGCUUCGCUACACACAGGGUCGAUACUGCAUACAGCUAGUAUUCAUAGUUUACGGCGUGGACUAC